rnacentral:tRNA from 1 species
GGGGAUUUGGCUCAGUGGCAGAGCGCUUGUCUAGGAAGCACAAGGCCCUGGGUUCGGUCCCCAGCUCCG